rnacentral:rRNA from 1 species
CUACGGGUGGCUCCAGUGGGGAAUAUUGGACAAUGGGGGAAACCCUGAUCCAGCAAUACCGCGUGUGUGAAGAAGGCCUUCGGGUUGUAAAGCACUUUCAAUAAGGAGAAAAAGCUUGAAGUUAAUACCUUCAAGUACUGAUGUUACUUAUAGAAGAAGCACCGGCUAACUCCGUGCCAGCAGCCGCGGUAAGACGGAGGGUGCAAGCGUUAAUCGGAAUUACUGGGCGUAAAGGGUAUGUAGGUGGUAAGUUAAGUUGGGUGUGAAAUCUCAGGGCUCAACCUUGAAAUUGCAUUCAAAACUGGCAUACUUGAGUAUGGUAGAGGAGAGAAGAAUUCUCGGUGUAGCAGUGAAAUGCUUAAAUAUCGAGAGGAAUACUAGUGGCGAAGGCGUCUCUCUGGGCCAAUACUGACACUGAAAUACGAAAGCGUGGGGAGCAAACAGGAUUAGAUACCCCAGUAGUC